UGUGCUUACUAAGUACAAACUCGAUGCAGUUCUCAAGGACUUAUAACGCUGCAUCGGGAGAAAUGAAGGAAAAGUGAAGGUGCCUAUUGCUUUGUUUGGAGGGUCUGGAAACUAUGCCUCUGCUCUGUAUCUAGCUGCGGUAAAAGCUAAUUCUUUAGACAAGGUGGAGUCUGAACUUGUUAACCUUAUCCAAGCUAUUAAGAAAAGCCCCACAUUUUCUCAGUUCACAAUGGACAUGUCAAAUUCCAGAGAAAACUAGAGUCAAGGCUAUCAAUGAAAUUUCUGCUUGAAGCUAAAUUUUCAGACAUUGUAAAGAACUUUUUGGUUGUCCUGGCUGAGAAUGGAAGGCUGAGAUAUAUAGAUCGCAUAGCAAAGAGAAUUUUGGAGUUGACCAUGGCUCAUAAGGGAGAAGUUAAAGCCAUUGUUACAACUGUUAUUUAAGCUUCUCUUUCACUGCCCUUUUUGUUUUAUUUUGCUUUCUUUUAGUUCAGGUAAAAACCAACUUCUUAUCUACCGAGUUCAACGUGCGAAGUGAUUGAAUAUGUUUUGCAUUAACUUAUGCAAAGUGAUAUCUGUUUCUAAGGGAUGACGGAUAACCCAUUUAAAUUUGGCAACUGAUUUGUGGAUGUUGUAGGAUGCCUUUUAUAUAACCCAUUCCAGCACAAGAAGAGAAAGAAUUGAAGGAGACAUUGCAAGAUAUAAUUGGACAAGGCAAGAAGGUUAAGCUCGAGCAGAAGAUCGAUCCCAACAUCCUUGGUGGUUUAGUUGUAGAAUUUGGCGAGAAGGUGUUUGAUAUGUCCAUUAAAACACGGGCACUUCAAAUGGAGAGGUUCUUGCGCCAACCUGUAACUCUUGAUGGUCUGUGAAAAGGUGUUUAACUUCUGUGGCACCAUGUCAUCAUCUGCGGCUAUUCGUCCCUUUGUCAUCCAUGUUAAUGGACAGAUAUUUCCCUUUUUACCUUGUUAUUAUGCUGGUAUACGACCAUCUAGUUGGAAAUAAGAGUGUCGGCUUUCUUUGUGAAUUAUAAUCUUGUAAGAGUUACUUGGUUUAAGAAUAUCUUAUUCCCGAGUACUUCGUCAUCGAUGCAAAGUUUACUUCCAAAUAGUGGCAAGUUUUUUGUUUACCAAUGUUAUUGCAAA